UACGUAGGGCGCAAGCGUUGUCCGGAAUUAUUGGGCGUAAAGAGCUCGUAGGCGGCCUGUUGCGUCCGCUGUGAAAUCCCGGGGCUCAACUUCGGGCUUGCGGUCGAUACGGGCGGGCUAGAGUUCGGUAGGGGAGACUGGAAUUCCUGGUGUAGCGGUGAAAUGCGCAGAUAUCAGGAGGAACACCGGUGGCGAAGGCGGGUCUCUGGGCCUUACCUGACGCUGAGGAGCGAAAGCGUGGGGAGCGAACAGG
rnacentral:rRNA from 1 species